rnacentral:rRNA from 1 species
AGAGUUUGAUCCUGGCUCAGAAUCAACGCUGGCGGCGUGCCUAACACAUGCAAGUCGAACGCGAAAGCCCCUUCGGGGGUAAGUAGAGUGGCGUCCGGGUGAGUAACACGUGGGUAAUCUGCCUUCGGGUGGGGAAUAACCCAGGGAAACUUGGGCUAAUACCGCAUAAUGCAGCGGCACCUAAUGGUGAUUAGUUGUUAAAGCGGGGGAUCGCAAGACCUCGCGCCUGAAGAGGAGCCUGCGGCAGAUUAGCUAGUUGGUGAGGUAAUGGCUCACCAAGGCUGCGAUCUGUAGCUGGUCUGAGAGGACGGCCAGCCACACUGGCACUGACACACGGGCCAGACUCCUACGGGAGGCAGCAGUGGGGAAUUUUGGGCAAUGGGCGCAAGCCUGACCCAGCAACGCCGCGUGAGGGAGGAAAUCCUUCGGGAUGUAAACCUCACAAGCAAGGGAAGAGAGCCACGGGCUGAAUAAUCCCGUGGUGCGACGGUACCUGCGAAGCCCACGGU